UCAAAAUGAGAUCACAUUGGAUUAGGAUG
rnacentral:piRNA from 2 species